CGUUGUCACGCACAAGGAAGUAGAAUGUCACGCGAAGAUUCAGAUUGCGUGAAAAUAUUAGAAUGCGCCGUACACCACAAAAUACUCACUCUAGCAUUUGCGCGGAUAUAUUUCUUACAUACACACGCAGAAUAGAAAAUGCUGCUGAAAACAAAGUUUUACAAGUUAUUUAUACAUGUUAUUUAAAGAAGAGAAUCCACUAGUGGUCAAAAUAUAACAGCAGACAUUAUUCGCCUCUUUUUUUCAUUCAAAAGGCCGAAGCCCGCUUCUUAUUGGCUUAGAUAUUGACUAGAGAUCUUUAACGUUUCAGUGUUUCUGGGAAAUGAUUAGUUAUUCAUGAAUAGAUUUACUAUCCUUAUUUACUAGCGUUAGUUCUUGUAGAACAACUGUUUCUUGAAUUCAACGGAGAUUUCGCCGCAUUUUCACCAUUUUCAGAGUUUCCCUUGCUUCGCCUUUGUGUCGAGGUAUGUCUUGACAUGGAAGCCAUUUCACAGACGAGACGGCCGUUAGACCGCUAACCAAUGAGAGAGCGCCAGAAAGAACCGAGCGCCGAAAAAGUAGACAAGAGAUACAAAUGCACACACGCACUAAAUCAACAACAAAGCAAAGCUGAAAAAAAUUCUAACUUUAUUUAAACCGUAGAGGUGAGCUCCCUGUGCGGGAGGAUACGAUUGAGACAGCCGAAAUACCUAAUUCGCGCUAAGUUCUUAUGAGAUGAAGACGCGCCCUUUGCUCUUUUCAAAGCUAAUCACUCAGACGUUUUGUAUGGUCUAUGGGAUUACAAUUGCCUAUUUUUUUUUGUCGGAUAACGGUAGCCACCACUCAUGUAUUGUUUUUUCAGUAUUUUUUUACCUAGAUAACUCAAUCAAGGUCCUGCAUGCAUGCCCACAUACCUACAACCACUUUCAUGCUUAGUUUCAUCACUCACGCAGAUGAGAACGAGGUCUCGAAACGAUCAAAGAUCAUAAGAAAAAUCCUAUUACGUUUUUGCGGUUAUCAUUUGGCGUUCUCGGAAAAUAAAUCUGCUUUAGGGGCUUUAGAUAAAGAAGGUGUGAUAUUUGACUAACUUUGGAACUGACUUAUAUUCAACCAUCCAUGCAAACUACUGUUUAGUCUUCAAAAGUCUUUGAAAACACAUUGCAUCUGUCUUCUGUAUUGAAUAUUUUUCUAAGCAAAAUCAAGUGUCUUAACGUUGUUCCUGUGAGAAUAGUUUUCUGUUUUUCAUUUCACCUGGAGGAGAUAUGUCCUUAUAAAUAGUUCUAUGUGUUGUGUCUAUCUAGAAUAUCUAUAAGCUUGAGCGAGUGUUUGCUAUGUCCUAAAGUAGUUCUGUUGACUGCUGUGGACUUGAAGAGUUCUGAGCGAGUGUUUGAGCUCAAUAAAAGUUACACAAACAGUCGGUGUCAAAUUCUUAAUCUAUUUUGCGUUCUAAAAUUGUCUAAUAUUACCUAGUAAGUGCUAAACAUGCUAUUUCUCAAUCCUUCUAGUGACUUUUUAAUACGCGCUUUUAUUUUAAUAAGGACGUCUAAUUUUCAGUUAAGGCUGUAGCGUUCUUAUUUUUGGAACGGUGUUCUUAACUUUUAGUAUAUAUAAAAA